rnacentral:rRNA from 1 species
GACGAACGCUGGCGGCGUGCUUAACACAUGCAAGUCGAACGGUGAAGCGCCUUCCUUUUUGGUGGGUGUGGAUGAGUGGCGAACGGGUGAGUAACACGUGAGUAACCUGCCCCCUUCUUCUGGAUAACCGCAUGAAAGUGUGGCUAAUACGGGAUAUUCUGGGUCUGUCGCAUGAUGGGUCUGGGAAAGAUAUUGUUUCGGUGGGGGAUGGGCUCGCGGCCUAUCAGCUUGUUGGUGGGGUGAUGGCCUACCAAGGCGGUGACGGGUAGCCGGCCUGAGAGGGUGGACGGUCACACUGGGACUGAGACACGGCCCAGACUCCUACGGGAGGCAGCAGUGGGGAAUAUUGCACAAUGGGCGCAAGCCUGAUGCAGCGACGCCGCGUGAGGGAUGGAGGCCUUCGGGUUGUGAACCUCUUUCGCCAGUGAAGCAGGCCUGCCUCGUUUGUGGGUGGGUUUACGGUAGCUGGAGAAGAAGCGCCGGCUAACUACGUG